AUGAAAUUAACCUCCAGUGCUGAAAUAACGGCAGUGAGCUACACAUUUCUAAAUCAGCUGCAGUCUGCUCUGGGCUUGAGCUCGGCCUCUGAUGUUAAACUGUCCUGGUCCAGACUCCCGUACCGCGUCGCUACAAACGAGAAGAAACCCACGAGGACUUGUGCUGGCAAACGUUAAACUGGAUCCACAGGCUGAGUCUUGGUUACACGAGUUAUUUAUAAUUCAUUGAUUUCUGCUAACAUUUUCAUUGCCUUGUUGUACAUGGUUCAUAUACGUGGUUCGA